ensembl:lncRNA
ACAGAUGAGACGCUCCAUCACUCCAGCUCUUACUGUCUCAUCAGGACCAGAUGCUGCUCUGGUGUCUUCAUCCUUAGUGAUCCCAGAGCCAGUGAGAGCAUCUAGAGAAACACCACAAGACACUGAGGAUGUGAUUUUGGGGCCUACAAUCCCCUGAUCAACCUGGAGAAGAGAGCCUUGCUCAAGGACACACUGGUGUUCCUGUGGCUCAAGUGGUAGAGCAUUGUGUUAGCAGUGCAAGGUUUUGGGUUCGAAUACCAGGGAACACAUGUUAGGUAAAAACUGUUAGUCUGAAUGCACUGUAAGUCACUUUGGAUAAAUGUAUAAUUUAUUUAUAAAUUUGAACCACUUCAGUGGUUUAGCCCACUACAAAAGUAAUAAAUCAAUGCAUGUACUUGUAAACUCUGUGUAAAUGUUUUUCAUAUAGUCGUGCUCAUGGGGUGCAGGCACAUAAAAAAGUUUGGAGCAGACACAGCAGUCAGAUUGUCCUGCACGUGUUCCCCUGCUCUCGCUUCAAGGUUUUGUGGUUCAGAGAGCCGUCAUCAAGGUCUUCCUCAUCCUGUUGCUCAACGACAUCCCUGUUGAGAAGAGUGAGAUUGUUAAGUGCAGCAGAACUGUAUCAGCUGUGUUCAGAUCGCAGGAGGAUGUUGGUUUCACCAUCUGUAAAUACAUGAUUGUUAGAACAAUAAGUUUGAAUGAAGCUUUGUAUCAUGUGUUGUUGACUUGUGCAUGUAUGCAUUUAUUGUGAUGCUAACUUUUAUACAUUAUUUUAAUCAUUUAGACAUGUUUUUUUGUUCUCAGUAAAUAAAAUAUAAAUAUUUUAUCCAUUCAUGUAUUAAUUGCUUGACUGAAAAUGGAUGGAUUCACAUCGACUGCUUUAUGCCACUUCUAUCGUGAGAACGACUAUUGCAGUUUAUAGGUAGACAGCAUCUUGAACACUGUGUUCUUCCCUCAUGCAAAGAAGUCUAGCGCCUAAUGCUUGUGCUGCGGAUUCCCAAAAUGCUUUGCGUUCACCACUGGGAAAACGUCAUGAUGACAACACAUUAGCGAUCUCUUAUGUCUUGCAGUUAUCUUAACUCAGUAAUUUGCCAUCUAAGUAAAUGUUAACCAUUCUAAUUAAAACACUCUUACUUCUGUAAAGUCGUCACAAUUAAUUAUAUGAUCAUCUAACGCAUUCUCAUCCUGCAACUCCUUGCCGUCAACUGGGAAAUACACAUAAAUACAUACAGCCAGACGGAGGUACCGUGACCUAAGCCUAGAACGCCCUCUGCUGACGUUUUAUCGUAGGCUACACAGACAUGCUUUUCCAAAAUGUGAAACACUUCAAUAAUUAAUGAACCAGUCUGCACACUACUAUAGGCUAUCUUAAAAUCCGAAUCAGAAAUACUUUGAUCUUUAUUGAUAUUGAUAACCCGGGGGACAAUUCUUGUGUCACAGUUGAUGUGCAACUCAAGACAUUUAAAGGAAUAUAAAUAAUAAUAUAAGUUGGUAAAUAAACUAGUAGCCUAUAUACAUGUAAAAAGUAUAAAAAUAUGCUAUAAAAUAUGAAGAAGAAUUAUAAAGGACUAUGGAAAUGCAGCCUACAAGAUUUAUAUUACUGUAUUAACAGAAUUGAAUUGAUUGUGAUGAACAUUACUAGUAAAUAAAUAGAAACAGAACUGCAGCAAAUUCUAUUACACUGAAUAUUAAAACAGAUAAUAUUGCACAGAAUGUGGAGUAUUACAUUGCACUACAGUACAGGGUUCAGUUUAAUAACAAAGGGUCCAUGUGUCAGACACUUCACUAUCUUGAGGCCACGAGUUAGCUUAUCUUGAGGCCACGACUUAACUUAUCUUGAGGCCACGAGUUAGCUUAUCUUGAGGCCACGAGUUAGCUUAUCUUGAGGCCACGAGUUAGCUUAUCUUGAGGCCACGAGUUAACUUAUCUUGAGGCCACGAGUUAGCUUAUCUUGAGGCCACGAGUUAGCUUAUCUUGAGGCCACGAGUUAGCUUAUCUUGAGGCCACGAGUUAACUUAUCUUGAGGCCACGAGUUAGCUUAUCUUGAGGCCACGAGUUAACUUAUCUUGAGGCCACGAGUUAGCUUAUCUUGAGGCCACGAGUAAGUUAUAUAUAUAUAUAUAUUUUUUUUUUUUUUGACAAAGUGUGACCAGAGGGGCUCCGUACAUUUUGAAAAUCUUAUAAGAUUUAAAAAAUAUUUUGUUGUGUACCCAGCAUUACCUUAUAAAAGUUAAUAACAGUGGUCUCUUUUGCUGCAUCUCUACGGCACUUCUAGAAACUAUUGAGAGGCUCCACAAUCCACCAUUGCUGUAUAAAGGAAUUCCAUUGUAGUGAAUGGAGUUGACGCAAUUCUGUCUCUCAAUGGCUCUGACUAUAGUAGCAGCUAGAAUAAUCAAAAAACACAAUUAUUUAUUAUAUUUAACCAAUCAUAUAUUACUCUUCACA